AUUGAACGCUGGCGGCAGGCUUAACACAUGCAAGUCGAGCGGAGACUUCGGUCUUAGCGGCGAACGGGUGAGUAAUACCUAGGAAUCUGCCUAUUAGUGGGGGAUAACGAAUCGAAAGGUUCGCUAAUACCGCAUACGUCCUACGGGAGAAAGGGGGGGAUCUUCGGACCUCUCGCUAAUAGAUGAGCCUAGGCCGGAUUAGCUAGUUGGUAGGGUAAAGGCCUACCAAGGCGACGAUCUGUAGCUGGUCUGAGAGGAUGGCCAGUCACACUGGAACUGAGACACGGUCCAGACUCCUACGGGAGGCAGCAGUGGGGAAUAUUGGACAAUGGGGGCAACCCUGAUCCAGCCAUGCCGCGUGUGUGAAGAAGGCCUCGGUUGUAAGU
rnacentral:rRNA from 1 species